rnacentral:rRNA from 1 species
AUUCCAGCUCCAGUAGCGUAUAUUAAAGUUGUUGCAGUUAAAAAGCUCGUAGUUGGAUUUCUGACUUCAAACACCUGACCCUCCCUCGCUAGAGGUGUGUGUGCCGGAGUGUUUGUAUCAUCCUUUCAGUGAUCGGUUCUACCCUUAACCGGGUCGGAACUGUUAACUGGAACUUUUACUUUGAAGAAAUUGGAGUGUUUAAAGCAGGCUUACGCCAGAACAUAUUAGCAUGGAAUAAUAAUUUAGGACUUUUGUUCUAUUUUGUUGGUUUCUAGGACGAAAGUAAUGAUUGAUAGGGAUAGUUGGGGGUGCUAGUAUUCGGCGGCCAGAGGUGAAAUUCUUUGAUCCGCUGAAGACUAACUUAUGCGAAAGCAUUCACCAAGGAUGUCUUCAUCA